rnacentral:rRNA from 1 species
UACAGAGACUGCAAGCGUUAUUCGGAUUCACUGGGCGUAAAGGGUGCGUAGGCGGCGCGGUAAGUCGGGUGUGAAAUCUCGGAGCUUAACUCCGAAACUGCAUUCGAUACUGCCGUGCUUGAGGACUGGAGAGGAGACUGGAAUUUACGGUGUAGCGGUGAAAUGCGUAGAUAUCGUAAGGAAGACCAGUGGCGAAGGCGGGUCUCUGGACAGUUCCUGACGCUGAGGCACGAAGGUCAGGGGAGCAAACGGGG